rnacentral:rRNA from 1 species
GAUGAACGCUAGCUACAGGCUUAACACAUGCAAGUCGAGGGGUAACGAGAGGGAAGCUUGCUUUCCUUGUCGACGACCGGCGGAUGGGUGAGUAACGCGUAUCCAACCUGCCCUUCAGUAAGGGAUAGCCUUUCGAAAGAAAGAAUAAUACCUUAUGUGAUCGUUUGAUGACAUCAGACGACGAUCAAAGAUUUAUCGCUGAAGGAUGGGGAUGCGUCCCAUUAGGCAGUAGGCGGGGUAACGGCCCACCUAACCUACGAUGGGUAGGGGUUCUGAGAGGAAGGUCCCCCACAUUGGAACUGGGACACGGUCCAAACUCCUACGGGAGGCAGCAGUGAGGAAUAUUGGUCAAUGGCCGUAAGGCUGAACCAGCCAAGUAGCGUGCAGGAUGACGGCCCUAUGGGUUGUAAACUGCUUUUAAACGGGGAUAAAGUGAGCCACGUGUGGUUUAUUGCAGGUACCGUUUGAAUAAGGACCGGCUAAUUCCGUGCCAGCCGCCGCCGUAA